ACUCCUACGGGAGGCAGCAGUGGGGAAUAUUGCACAAUGGGGGAAACCCUGAUGCAGCCAUGCCGCGUGUGUGAAGAAGGCCUUCGGGUUGUAAAGCACUUUCAGUAGGGAGGAAGGUAGUGUAGUUAACACCUGCAUUAUUUGACGUUACCUACAGAAGAAGCACCGGCUAACUCCGUGCCAGCAGCCGCGGUAAUACGGAGGGUGCAAGCGUUAUCCGGAAUCACUGGGUUUAAAGGGUACGUAGGCGGUCUAAUAAGUCUGACGUGAAAGCUUUUGGCUUAACCAAGAAAUUGCGUUGGAUACUGUUAGACUAGAAUGAGUUGAAGUAUGCGGAAUGGGUCAUGUAGCGGUGAAAUGCAUAGAUAUGACUUAGAACACCGAGAGCGAAGGCAGCAUACUAUGACUAGAUUGACGCUGAGGUACGAAAGCGUGGGUAGCGAACAGGAUUAGAUACCCUGGU
rnacentral:rRNA from 1 species